rnacentral:rRNA from 1 species
AGUGAACGCUGGCGGUAGGCCUAACACAUGCAAGUCGAACGGCAGCACAGUAAGAGCUUGCUCUUACGGGUGGCGAGUGGCGGACGGGUGAGGAAUACAUCGGAAUCUACUUUUUCGUGGGGGAUAACGUAGGGAAACAUACGCUAAUACCGCAUAUGAUCUACGGGUGAAAGCAGGGGAUCUUCGGACCUUGCGCGAUAGAAUGAGCCGAUGUCGGAUUAGCUAGUUGGCGGGGUAAAGGCCCACCAAGGCGACGAUCCGUAGCUGGUCUGAGAGGAUGAUCAGCCACACUGGAACUGAGACACGGUCCAGACUCCUACGGGAGGCAGCAGUGGGGAAUAUUGGGCAAUGGGCGAAAGCCUGAUCCAGCCAUACCGCGUGGGUGAAGAAGGCCUUCGGGUUGUAAAGCCCUUUUGUUGGGAAAGAAAAGCAGCAGGUUAAUACCCCGCUGUUCUGACGGUACCCAAAGAAUAAGCACCGGCUAACUUCGUG